rnacentral:rRNA from 1 species
UACAGAGGGUGCGAGCGUUGUCCGGAAUCACUGGGCGUAAAGGGCGCGUAGGCGGCCUGAUAAGUAGGGGGUGAAAUCCUGUGGCUUAACUGCAGGGCUGCCUCCUAGACUGUUAGGCUCGAGCACGGUAGAGGCAGAUGGAAUUCCCGGUGUAGCGGUGGAAUGCGUAGAGAUCGGGAAGAACAUCGGUGGCGAAGGCGGUCUGCUGGGCCGGUAUUGACGCUGAGGCGCGAAAGCCAGGGGAGCAAACGGG